ACUGCUGCCCUCACUCACACACUACAACCUUCACACACACUCUGCACCCCUUACACAUUGCACCACUCACACACACCACUGGUCCUAUGCCCUACUUCAGCCCCAUUUCCCAGCAGAUCUCAGGUAAGUUGUCAAACUGUUCUUAAACGGUUUGACUACUUACUGUGGGAGGGGGUCCCGGCACUAUUGACACCAUAACCACUACA